AGCAUGUGUCUAUUCUUGAUUGUUGUUGAUGUUGCAUUGCUAGAUGAUUAGCAUGCAUAUUGUGGCCUUCGGGUGGUAGCUAAUUCCCAUGGUGAGGAAUUAGUGAGUAAAUCAUUUUGAUUGUUGUUGUUGAUGUUUGCAUGCUAGGUGAUUAGCGUGCAUUUCAUGGCCCAUUUGGGGUGGUAGCUAAUUCCCAUGGUGAGGAAUUAGUGAGUGAGUCACUA
rnacentral:lncRNA from 1 species